AAAUUCUACAAGAAAAUUGGAACGCACCGUAAGGGCGGAGGCCAUUGUUAUAAGUCACAUCAUUUUAUUUCUCUCCAUUCGACAAAUCAAAAACUUAAAUUUCGUUCAAUUCUAGAAAUAUAUAGAUGUGUUGACGUAUCGAAAGUAGUUAUUUCAGUUUCAGAUCAUUUUGUGUGUGGUUCAUACCUAGGGACAACAUCUGUGUACGUGCCAAGUGUAUUCUUCAGCAUACAACAUUAUAAUGGACCUUGGUUCCAUGCGAGAGUAGCUACAUACAAUUGAUAUUACAGCUGUACUCGUAAUUUGAGAAUAGAACUACGUAAGCCAACUUGAUGAGCAAGAUGAAUAAUUUCCAGCAACUGCUGGCAUUCAAAAGAGAAAUUAACGUCGCUGAUAAAUACAGGAUCAUUAGGAGGAUCGGAGGUGGUUCAUUUGGUGAUAUCUACCUCGGUAUUAAUAUCUGCAAUGGCGAGGAGGUAGCUGUAAAGAUAGAAUCUAUAAAAGCGCGGCAUCCGCAGCUUCUAUAUGAGAGCAGAGUGUAUAAAAUGCUCCAAGGGGGCAUCGGAAUACCACACAUAAGAUGGUACGGUUUCGAAAAGGACCACAACAUCCUCGUGAUGGACCUGCUGGGUCCGUCGCUGGAGGACCUGUUCAACUUUUGCUCGCGCCAGUUCACCAUCAAGACUGUGCUCAUGCUUGCAGAUCAAAUGAUGGGCCGCGUGGAGUACAUCCACUGCAAGUGUUUCAUCCACCGCGACAUCAAGCCGGACAACUUCCUUAUGGGCAUCGGUCGGCACUGCAACAAGCUGUACAUGAUCGACUUCGGCCUUGCCAAGAAGUUCCGGGACCUACGCAGUCGCGCACACAUCUGCUACCGCGAGGACAAGAACCUGACAGGCACUGCCCGUUACGCGUCCAUCAACGCGCACCUCGGCAUCGAGCAAUCUCGGCGAGAUGACAUGGAAUCACUCGGCUACGUACUUAUGUAUUUCAAUAGGGGAUCGCUGCCAUGGCAAGGACUGAAAGCGAUCACUAAGAAGCAAAAGUAUGAGCGAAUUAGCGAGAAGAAGAUGUCCACUCCAGUUGAAGUGCUUUGCAAGGGAUUCCCGGCUGAGUUUGCGAUGUAUCUAAAUUACUGCCGUGGACUUAGCUUCGACGAACCUCCAGAUUACAUGUAUCUCAGACAGCUGUUCCGGAUCCUGUUCCGCACGAUGAACUACCAGUACGACUACACGUUCGACUGGACGAUCCUGCGGCAGCGCAAGCAGCAGUCAAUGGAGGGCGGCGCUGCGACCACCGACCGCCGCUCGCCCUCCGUGCAGCGCCGCGCCGCACAGCAGCCGCCGCAGCCGCCGCCCAACAACGAGGAUCUUCUUCGACGCUUCUUCGAGGCAUCUACUACGGGCUAGGGUGGCUGUGUCAUCUGCGAAGGUUGCUACUGUGACAUUAGCAGUUUGUGGUCACAAACCUUAGAUAUUACAGUGAAAGAGACUACGUCGUUCGGCAGCCACGGGCGCACCGGCGAAGAAGCGAGCGCGAUAACGUUGUGUGUGUGAGUGUGUGUGUGGAGUGGACACUGGUGCGUGUGUGUGUGUGCGUCGGACGCUCGUCCUAUUCUCCGCUGCCGCCGUUGGCCCGUGACGUCACUUGGCCGUGUACGCACAUCCGACGAUUACAACCUAGCCGAUUAUAGUGACACGUGACCCCGGUGUUAGGUUUAUGCCGAAUUUAUAUGGAGUUGACGACGAUUGCUCGACCUAUACUAAAUACAGAUUUACGCUAAAUACAAAGUCACGUGAGUUAAGGUACUUAAAACUUAUACCAGCGCCGCAUAACUCUUAAAACCCGCUUACUAGAGUACUUGUUAAUGUUAUAAUUGAAAUAAUGAACAUAGCUCUUAGCGACUGACCAAUUGACGGCAACUUUAGCUACUAUGAAAUCGACGGCUAACGAAAUUCGUUCUUUGAUCAAUGGUUUCACAGUCAGCUGUCACUCUGUUAAUUUAUUUUAAUAUCAGCAUUUUGUAUACUCGUAUACUUUAUCAACUCAACAACACGUCAUGCAGAGUAUAGGAAAUAUGAAAUACAAAUAUUUUUACAACUUAAAUUCCUUGGCAUGGCGUGUUUUGUUUUCAAUAUGAUGUUAGUGGUGUCUGGGUUUUUGGAAUCAUAAAUAAUUGUUUGUAGUUAGUUUUGUUGCUAAUAUAAUAUCAGUUAAAUGAUAACCUAGGUUCAUUGGCCGGGAUUUAGAGGGAUAUAUCGUUGUUUUCGUCGGAUGUCAACAUGUAUUCGAGGCAGGUGACGAGACGAGUCAAAGCUCUUCGCGGCGUCGUACGCGACGUAUAUAGACAUUCUUUUUCUAUUACAGAGGCCUUUUAAGUUAAUGUCAGAGUAAUGCAUUGUGGCCGUUUGGUUGCCCCCUUUAAGUAAAACUUCGGUAACUAACUUUUUGAUUACUCGUAUGUAUAUUACAUUCUUUAAAAGAAUACUAAGGUCAUCAAGAUAACAUAAAGAAACCAGAGAAACUUCGUAAAUUGUUUACGAGGGAAUUUUUUAUCGCGCCUUGUUUGAUCGUUAUAUUUUUUGGUUGAUCCACAUGUUUGGUUUUGCCGAAAUAUGCAUGCAAUUUAGAGUUAACAAUUAUUUUGAUUUGCAUGACAAAAAAAUAAGAAAUAUUGUCAUAUUACAUAUUUAAUGCGGGAUGAAGUUUUUGGAUAUUAUAAUCAUUGAAUUUUAGUUAUUACUUUUCUCAAUAUUUACUUACUUUGUCAAUGUUAGUUUCUUCCUAAUUAGCUAGCGUUAAAGAAUUUAAUUAGUUAUAAUAUGUUAUAAAUAGUUUCCCUAUUGUGCACAUUCGCUUAUGAAACUCCCUUGAAGUGUGCACAUUUCUUUUAUUGUGAAAAUAUAAGAAUGUAUUUAUUAAGCUAACUUUUGUUUUAGAUGGUUUAAAAAUUUAAAAAUGAAUUCAAAUAUCACAACACCACGAUUGGUUAAAAUCUAAAAUUUACUGAUUACUAAUAUAAUAGGUUUCUCUGUAUUGAAAAACUCGAAAAUGUAAAAAAAAAAAAAGAUUAAAAAUUAUAGGUUAACGAAAAAAAUUUAAUCUGUUCUUUUCGAACGGCCCACAUGUCGCCACCUUUAUAGAUGUAAGCUCCUUUGUUUUAAACUAUAUUUUACGUUUGUUGGUGAACCAUACCUUUGACUCAUGACUCUAAAAUUUUAAAAAGACCGGCGCGCGCGAGUCGUUCUAAAAGAAUUUGGUACAUACAUAUGUAUCGUAUAUUUUAAGUACUAUGUAAAUAUGAGACAGUGUUCAUUUUAACUGUUAUAUUUGGUUUGUCCUCUACAGCGAGUCGUGAUCCUAGUCUUUUAUAUAACAUUACUGCCCCCCCUGCCGUCAGGUGAUAUUUUUAUAUUAAAAUUAAUAACUAAGUAUAGCCCACAUUUACUAAUGCUUCCAAUAGCUAUUUCACACGACUGAUAUCACGAAUCGCGGUACAUAAUACUAGUUAAUAAAAGUGUAUGUACGACUGAGAAGAGUGUUUGAUUGAAUGGGGACAAAAGCCAACGUAUUUAAGCCCGUGUAGAACAGUGACUGGAAUAUAUUAUGGAUCAUAACUUUUUUUAGGGUUUUUACCUUGUGAUAACAUGGAUCUCAAUAUUCCUCUUCGAAACGGCGAUGAAUCGAUUCUUCCGCGGCGCAGUCGACAGCGGUUAUUUUGUCUCCAUAGGAACAUGUUCAUUAUAACGCACUUAACUCUAAAUUAAUAAAUAAUUAUAAACGUG